rnacentral:lncRNA from 1 species
CAUGCAGUGAUUCUUCAUUGUAGCUAUUUUAAAAAUAUUUAUGCAGGCAGAUCAAUGAAGGGGCUCGACAUGCUUUAAGAUUUGCAUGGUAGGUGAUUCUUAGCUAUAGGCCAUAUAAUAAAGAUGCUUUAAGAUCUGUGCAAGUGGAUCAAAGAAGAGGUUCGGAGUACUUUGAGUCGAUACAGUGAGUGAUCCUUCAAUAUAGGAUGUAUACUAUGGAUGCUUAAAGAUCCAUGCAAGCAAACAAAUGAAG